GUCUUCUUCUUGUUCUUAUGUUUCUUUCCAUCACUAUCCCCAUACCCAUGACUCGCCUCUUGACUCAGCUCCACAGCACCACGAGUCAAGUUGAAUACACUCGGUUCUAGACUCGACUCGCCGGCACCUUCCACUGCGGUCUCAGACUUGGGUUACACUUACACAACAAGAGGGAUUCAUAUCCACCUCCCAUCAGACCUUGUAGUGGGAAGCCCCAAGCUUUAACCAUUGAAAUGUCUCUUUGUUAACUGGUUGAAUGCUCUUAUUGUAAUCAUAUUUGGUAUUGUCUUAUUGCCUUUCCUUAUCCUUUAGAUGAAUUAAAGCCUGGAGAGAUACUUUAAAGGUCAAAUAUUAAAGAGGCUAAGUAGAAGCUAAUUCUUAUCUAUCUUUCUUAUUUUCUUCUGCUGUUUUCUGGUUUCCUCUGUGUACAGUGUAUGAUAGAGCUGCUUUCUUCCUCUUGUUUGACAUAUUUGAAAUGAGUCAUAUUGGCUUGUAGGGCCACCUUUACAUGAUCCCGAGUUUAGAGCUUGAGAUCACUGCAAGAUGACAUUUUUGGAUGGCUCUUAAUGGGGCAAGCUUGGGUUUUACUAAUUGCUUUAGGAUUAGGACUGGAUGUAGUAUCUUGCCUAUUUAUGAUUCCCCCUUCCUGUUAUGGGUUUGUAGGGCCCACGCUCAGUUGAACUCUUCUGUGAUGAACUAAGCACAUGCUGAAACCCAGUAGAAUAGUUUCCAGCGAGCAUUCUAAGCAUUGUACAUAUUCUAUCUGUUUGGAUUAUUUUAGACGCCAAUUGUUAAUGUAAGACAUUAAUUGUUGUUUUUGAAUUUUGUUAGCUACUUAAUUUUAAUUUGAAUUUUUUUAACAUUCUGGAAACGCUCUUUGGCUUGACAUAUGUGGACAACAGAACAAUAAUUUUCAGGUUAGGCUCUUGACAUUUUCAAUUUCUUAUAUCCUCCAAAAUGAAUCCCGGAAAUGGCAACAAGGAUGGACUUUAUUCUUUCUUCUCAGGGACUACAAUGCACAUGCUGCUGCUGCCUGCAUGAAUCGGCUAGCUAAACUGAGGUAACCAAUUAUAACAAGACUUUGGUUGCCAAAUUUCAUCUGUCAUUGUUUCUUAAGUUCAUAUGUGAACAUUUUGGCUGUUUGAAUGACUCCAUGCUAAUGCAAGUUCUUCAUGUUUUUGUGAGGGCAAGUUCAUAAUUUUUCCAUUCUUUCGUGAAAAAUUUUCUUUAAAAUCUUAGUCUAGCGUAAUAUAACAUGGAUUUCGUACUGUUUAUAGCAAUCACAUGAAUAAUACAUGUUACUGUUUCUACAGAAUCUUUUUCACUUUCCAAUUUAUUUUGUUGCGUUUAAUGUAAUUUCAGGUCUUAAUUUGACUUUGUAUUCUCUUUGUUCUUCUGUUAAUAUAUUUUCUUUUUAUAUGCUUCUAUGCAGUUCUCGAUGGAUAGGGAAUCAUGGCUUUUCAAUUGGAAUUGAUGAUGUCCAACCGGGGAAAAGGUUGAAUGAUGAGAAAGCAGUAAAAAAUUCAGGAGGUCAUAAGAAAUGUGAUGAAGAGAUAUAGAUGGUCAAUGAAGGAAAACUAGAGCCUAAACCUGGUUGUGAUGCUGCUCAAACACUAGAAGCUAAUGUAAGUGCAAUAUUGAAUAAAAUUCGGGACAAAACGGGGAAGGUAAUGAUUGGGGCUAUGUUGUAGUAUUUUCUAAUUUCUAUUUGAACGUGUGAAAUGGUCACUGCUAGAAAACUUAGUUGUGUUCCUUUAAUCUUUUAAGUUUAUAUCAUCUUCCAUACACUUGGAACUAUGCAUUUGUUUUUAGAAUGAUGAUUACUUGAGGACUAUUUGGUUGAUGGUUUAUGAGAAUUGCUUUGAAACAGGUAUGCAUGAAAGAACUACGUUGGAGAAACAGUCCAUUGAUCAUGUCGCAAUGUGGUUCCAAGGGUUCUGCUAUAAAUAUAAGUCAAAUGAUUGCAUGUGUUGGUCAGCAAUCAGUUGGUGGUUGUCGUGCUCCUAAUGGAUUCGUAGAUCGUAGCCGUCCUCAUUUCCAUAGAGGAUCGAAAACCCCUGCUGUAAGUUUAUUUUACAUUGCUUUAGCUCUGAAAACCUAAUUUUCUUUGUUGAUUGUGCAAGUACUUAAGCUUAUAGAUUGAUUUUAGUGUCUUUCACAUAAAACAAGGAAAAAGGUUUAAUACUUCUCAGUGAGUAUUAUUUCUCAUGAUAUCCUGUAUUAUAUUAACAUGUCAUUGUUAUUUGGAAUAGCUUGUGUUAAGUUGAUAUGUGUAUAAGAUGGAGUAUAAUUUCUAAAUUUUUGAUGUCUGAAAUCUGUCCUAAAGUUCAGUAUUGGUGUUUAUUUUGUCAUUUUGUUGGUUUUUUUAAUGAAUGUUUAUUUAAAUUUCCAACUUUCACUCAAAGGGUUAUUGGUUGAGUUGUUCAUAUUGGUUCCUCACAUUCGUGCUAAAGAUUAUGAGUGAUUUACACUUAGAAACAUAUACUCUUUAUCUAGGUUUAGAGGACUAUUACACCAUAUGACACUGUUAUUUUUCUAAUUUUCAAUCUAGCAUAGGGUUUCUAGGGUUUGAUUCUUUGUGUUUGUUCUCUUUAAGUUAGUUGGCUGGUGACUAAUUACAUUCUGAAUCUAGUGUAAGGAAUAGUUUCAUUCUGUAUACAUUUUUAGGCUUUUACCAAUGAAACUAUGAGCUAAUUAGGAUGUUUAGGGCUUGAGGCAUUGUCGUUGCUGGGCAACCCUCUCUUACAGUGGUUUUCUGUUAUUAAAAAUAUCUUUGUCUUAUCCAUGGCACUGUGAUAGUUGAAUUAACUUCAACUUAGCCUUGGUUUCCUCAUUCUCCAAACCCUUGAAUCUAUUCGUAGCCUUGAGACCCUUCAACAACCAUUAAGCAAACAACCUGGGAACCUAUAAUGAAAGCUGCUGUCCCGAUCAUUCCUGCAACUUAAUCCUCUGCUUCCAGCAAAGCUAUAUCAAUACUUACACUUUCCACCAUCUGUUUGAGUUCUAUAUUUCAAACCAUUUCUUCCAAAUAAAAAACUUGAAUAAUCAAGUGUAUUCAAAGCUCUAUUUGUUUUAACGUAAAAUAUUUUUCAAAAAAUAUUUUCAGGACGUAUGCUUGUUUAGAAGACAGAAAAUUCAUUCCAAAUGUAAAAUAUUUUAUGGGUCAAUGGGAAAUACACCUGUUGUCUACGUAAAAUGUCUUAUGCCCCUUAAGGGGCAUAAGACACUUUCUAGAGAACAAAAAAAAACAAAGAAAGAACUACACAAAUUGCAAAUGAAGAAAAUAAGAUUUCUUAGGAUUAAGAGAAAUAGGGAUAUAAAAUGUUUUACAUUUAAAAUAAAUUUUUUGUCUUCCAAACACGUAUAAGUCUUGAAAAUAUUAUUUGAAAACUAUUUUACAUCAAAACGAACGAAUCCUAACUUAACUAUUAUUUGAAUUGACUAAUCGAUGGCCUUAACAAUGGUCAAAGGACUUAGACUCUUUCGUCUAAAUGAAAUGAUGAGUUUUGCUUCUCAAGUGAAACUCUACGUUUUAUUCUUUUCUCUAUGUUUAGUCCAAUCUACUGCCCUUUCAUUUCUUCUUGGAUCAGGGACCUUUGUUCCUUGCUUAUUCAUAUCAUCUCUAAACGUAUUCAUCAUCAUACUAUCUAAUAAAACCCAAGGGCAGAGCUAUUGCUAAUUUAUCAAGACAAUUUACUUUAAAACUUUUAUCAAAUUAGCAAAACAUCAUAUAAGUGUACAUGGUCAACAAGUAAUCUUGUAGUGAGUGAGUUAUUGUCUAAUCUUAUCCAAGGAAAUCUAGUGUAGAGUUUAAUUGAAAAUGAAAAAAAUUAAAGUAGCCAGGCUAAACUAGUGAACUAAGCUAAAAAAAAUACAAGUUAAUUGAGUUUGAAAACAAUGGGGAAGUACCUAGGAUUAUGGUUUCAAUUAAUGCUUCAUUUGGAGUUAAUAUUAACUAAUUACCUAAUUUUAUGGAAAACUAAUGCUAGUCUAAGAUCCUUAAGAAUGAAAGAUUCUCCGUCAAGCUAUCGUAUAAUGGCCUAACUUAAUUUAAUUCUUUAUAUGUCUACAGUUAAUUAAUUAAACUAACUUUCUUAAGUAUAAGUCAUAAAAACUGACCGUAUAUAAUUAAUACUUGUAUGUUUAUCCUAUUAAUAAAUCACCCAAUUAAGUUCUAAUUGCAAAUUUGCCUUCCAAGCUCUUUUGCACCUUCUCCAACAUAUAGCACAAUCAAUAGAAAGGAUAAAUAAGACUUAAUAAUAUGAAAAUAAAUUCAAAUUACUUAUUUAAACUACUAAGGCAUGCAUACAAUAAAUACUAAUAAAAAUGUAAAAAUAAUAUCUAAAUUAGUUAAAAACAAGAGGACAUUGAUCAUUUUUAGGCUCAAAAGAAUGUAAGAUAACUCUAUAAAAUAUAAUUAUCAAGAGCUAACCAAUUUUUAUUGAGAGCGCAAAAGACAGAGGACAUUGGUCAUUAUCACUCAGUUCACUUUACUCCAACUAGAAGAAACGUCUUGAAGAUUUUUUUGGGCCAUUCUUUUUUGAAAAUUGACAUAAUUUUUCCUCUAAAGAUAGUACUAGUAAUUAUAUGUUUGCCAAGGAAACAAAUUGUUUCGCUAUCACUUAACAUUAUAUUAAACCAUAUAUCUCUUUCUUUCUCAUUUAUAAACAAAUGACAUAAUAUUUAAAAAAAUUUAUGAGGCUUUAUAACUUUUAUUACGUUCAACUAAAUUUUUAUAUUUUUAUUUUGAGCCAAAUAUGUUCAUAUAUUUUUAUUUUUAAUUAAAUAAACUCAUACGAUUAAUAGUUGACUUAUAUAAAAUGCCACUUGUCAUUGUCAUUGUACGUCAUGUGGCGUUAACGUGGCACUAACAUAAUGUGUUGAUAUAUUGUAAUGAAUGAUUAUAUGACAUAUUUAUGUGGCAUAAUAAUAUGAUCAUAUCGAAUUUUUCAUCCUCUACAUUAACGUUACAUCAACGCUGCAUAAGUAUAAAAUAACAAUAGAUAUUUGAUUAAUUGCUAUUAGUCAACAAUUAGGAUCAUAAAGGAUUUAUUUGAUUAAAAAUGAAAAUAUAAGGGUUUGAUUAAACGCAAUAUAAGAAUAAAGACUAAUGUAAAAUUAUUUUGAAUAGUUUAGGAACUUUUUUAUAUAUUAUGCUUAAAUAAAUUUAAUAUGAAAUUAUUGAUUAAGAUGCCAUUUUAUUUCGCAACUUCAUGUGUGCAUUAUAUACUUGUAUUUAUUUAUUUUUAUCCUAAAUAUGAUUUUCUUGCUCCUUUAUUACAUUUUUUAAUUAAUCAUAUCUCAUUGGAAGAAUCAAAGGGUACAAAAUGUUUACAUACAGCUACCUUAACUAAUCUAAAGGAGAGAGAAAAAUAAUCCUAAUUAAUUACAUCUUUUAAGUAACUUAACUAAUAUUUGAAUUGACUAAUUAGUAGCCUUAACAACGGUCGAAGGACGUAGACUAUUUCCUCUAAAUGAAACGAUGAGUUUUGCUUCUCAAGCGAAACUUUGCGUUUAUUCUUUUCUUUUUGUGCGAUGUCCAGUCUGCUGCACUUUCAUUUCUUCAAAACCAAAUGUCUUUGAUCUUAUAGGUUAUGUUUGAUAUGUUCUUGAAAAUGUGAUUGUCGAUAAGGUAACUUUAAAGCGUUUAAUUUAAAAUGAAAAAGUGAUUAUUGAAAAAAAUAUUUUUUUUUUGUAAUUAGAGAAGGGAGAAUUCGAACCUUAUUUUUUAGGUAGUAUUAAUUUGAAAGCAUUAUACUAAGAAUGCAUGUAGUGUAAAUUUACAAAAUUUUCAAUUAUGUAUGAAAAUAUAAAAUUGAAUAAAUUUAUAUUUUUUUAAUAUAAAGUUUUAACUUUUCAACUUUAUCCUUAAAAUAAUAAAUAAUAAUAUGAUAAAAAUAACAUAAUAUUUUAAUAUUAAAAUAUAUAAAAUUACUAAAUAUUUAUUGUUACUAAAUAUUUACUUGAGAGGGGUAUAUUUGUCCAAUCCAUUCUUUUGUAAAUGUAUCUUUCCUACGGUCUUGCAAUGUCAUUACAUUGUAAGAGAACCACAUUAAACGUGAUAAGGCGAUCAUGUCCAAUUAAAAUCCCUGUAAAGUGCUUUAACUUCCUCAAUUAUCAAAGGGGACCAUAGACUUCCAAAUACAUUAUACAACUGCUAUUCCGACGCUAGUACAAUCUUAUAUACUACAUAUACAUGAAAGACCUAUUUAAUUCAACUUCUUGACGUACAACUUCCAAAGCUGAAGAGCGUGAGAUAGAUAAGGAAACCUUAGCUGAGAGUUUUACACUUCUUUCCUUCCCGCAGUAGUGUAAGGGUAAGAGUUUUACACUAGAUUCGAUUUUCGUUUUUUCCUGUAAACGUGGAAACCUAGAAAGUACCAUCUUCGAAUUUUUGCAGCGUCACAAACUAAUUGCUACGCAAACUGUUGUGCCAGAUCAGAGGUUGAAGAUGAAGUUCCCUUCACAAUCUUUUGAGUUUGGGCAGCAACCGAGCAGUUCUUUCGAUGGGAAAAGGACAUCAUCUAGAUCUGCUGGGAUUUUGAAACGGACUUCAGCUGCUUACAAGCGUGGACCAGAAGGGGUGAUUGUGGACAGUCGAACUGAGAAGAGGCGAAAGAUGGAUCGUAGCAUGGCUCAGCAGUGUCCUGCCCAUGUUGAUGAAUCAAGACGGAGUUGUCCUAAAAGCCAGCUAUCCCGAUGUUACUCUUUCCCCAAGAAGUCAAGGCCAUCUGAGGAGAAGUUUUUCAAGGUGCCUUUGAAUGCAAGAGCAACAGAAGUCGAGCGUCCUAAACCCGCACAGAAGUGUGUUAGCAGGUUGGCAAGAAAAAACUUUCAAAAAGGCGCCAGUAGUGGUGGGCGUGCUCAUCGAUCUAUCAAUGCCAAGCCACCAUUGAGUCCAGGUGCCUGCAGAUGCAGCUCAUGUGGCAGCAUUAAGUGUCAAUGUAGUCUUCCAAGUGAUUCAAACCAUGCAUCUUCCAGCGAUGUGACUUCAGAAAGAUCAUUGGGUGGAGAUCUUAGAGUGUGCAGAACUUAUGCCUCUAAACUGGAUUGCCAGGCCAAAAGGACAAUGACAUCACCAAUGAGCGAGUCUGAUCCAGAUUCUGACGGAGCUGUAAGUUCUCUGUAUGAUGAGAACGUUUGUCUGAUUUCUCAACUUACAACUCCUGCAACAGAUGCUGCUUCUGGGGAAGGAUUGUUAACUCCUAGUUUUGACGUGCAAAUGUCAUCGAAGAAGGCUUUCCGAGCUGCAAUGCUGAAAAGCCGUUAUGCAGACACCAUUUUGAAAGCUAAGCACAUACUUGAUCAUGGUGAGAAAGCUGAUCCAGUGAAGAUGCAGCAGCAAAAGGGAAAAUUGGAAAGAAGGCAGCGAGAAGAAAAGGCAAAGAUUGAAGCUCAAAUCAGAGCUGCUGAAGCUGCAGCAAAAAUGAAGGCAGAGGUCGAGUUGAAAAAGCAACGGGAAAGAGAAAGAGAAGCUGCUCGGAAUGCAUUGCAACAGAUGGAGAAAACAGCUGGGAUUGAACUGAAUGUGGAGAUUGAAAAGGAGUUCGAGAUGCUGAUUGGAUUCCCUAUUUAUAAUAACUGGCAUGGUAGCAAAAAUGGAUCUGGAAAGGUGACUGGAGCUUAUGGAGGAACUCUGUGAAUUCACUGCAUCAGCUGGGUUUGUUCAUCGAAGAUGAGCAUGCAGUUUCUUUCUUCUUGAUUAUUAUUUGUUCCAGCUCCUUGUUAAUAGUUUUUUCCUUUUCGUGGGGGACAGGAAAAAAAGAAAUUAGUAUUUGUAAAUGAGGUACUUUUUUACGGAAUUGGAAUUUUUGUAAACAAACAGUACAUAGUUAUAUUUGAAAAUUAUCAGCCUGCUUCCAUUAACACCGUAGCAUCAACAAAACACCCACUCAAUGCAUGAUCACACAUUGAGACUAACAGCCAAUUCACCAGCAAGAACAAACCCACAAACUCAUCCACUCACAUCAUCACAAAAGGCAGAAAACAAAACAAAAAAAACUUACUGAAACACUCUGAAGGACCUCACUUUGUAGCUGGACUCCUCCCUUUGCAAGAUCAUCUGCUCAUGAUGUUCUUAGGUACUCCCUUGAUAUCAUAGGUGGAUCCUUUGUGCACCUUUGCAAUAUGGAAGAAUACAUCUGUAUCUAUAAACAUAUAAACUGAAAUAAAAAAUGAAGAAUUAAUAUUACUAAGCUUACACUAUUUUGGCACAAUUUAAACUGUGUAAAUGAAGCAGUGCAUAAUCCCAAAUGGUGAAAUGAUAAGCCUGAUGCCUUAAGUUUGAAUAAAUGCAUUGGCCUAAAACAUUUUGAGAUCAGAUAAUCUGUCAAAACCUUAUAUGCUUCCCCGGAAGACAAAUUUGUGCCAAAAAACAAUGAGUCAACUUCUUUGUCUUUAUCAAGUUAUAUGUUUCCCAUAUGCUUCAAGUCAUACACAAACUUUUUUUUUUUUUGAAGAUUUGUCAUUGAUCUUCCAUUCCAUCUGGGAAAAACCCAUCAAAAAGGUAACAUAACAUCAAGAGCUAAACAAAUAAGGACCGUAAGAACUUCAACCUCGUCGACCCUGUUGAAAGGAACACUAUCAGUGUACCAUCAGGAGGUUGGGUGGCAUAUCGUUUUCUUGCAGACAAUCCAGGUGGGUAGAAAUAAUAACAUGCUGUACUUAGUAUUCUUGUUUUGUUUAUGUUUUUAGCUGAUAAUGACAACAAGUUACACGUGCCAACAGGGGUGUGGUUCAUGCAUUGCCACCUGGAAGUCCAUACAAGCUGGGGCUUGAAGAUGGCAUGGAUCGUCCUGGAUGGAAAUCUACCCAAUCAGAAGGUGCUUCCACCCCCAGCAGCUCUUCCCAAGUGCUGGGGAACCCCUCUCUAGAUAGAAUUUGCCUUAUCAUUUUCCUUUUUAAACCUAAUUUUGAUUCUUUUUUUCUUGACCCUUUUGUCUUUGGCCGGUCAAUUCUGAAGAUUCACUAGGGAGAGAAAGAAUGGUGUGGGAAAAUUUUGUAACAUUCAGAUCCAAGAUGUCACUGAAUUAGGUCCAAUAAUAUCUCAAAUAAAAAAAAAAUUCAGCCCUACUAGAAAGUAACAACAGCUUUGUUAAUUAUGGUUUUGGAGUUUGUGCAUCUUUGUCUUGGAACGUUGAAUCUUUCUUGUUUCAUUGAAAGUUCAGAAACUGCAAUGUUUUCUCUGCCAGCAUUCACAUAGUUUCUUUGACUAAACCGGUCUAUGUCGUAUUGUCAGCUCCCAAUAAUAGGCAAAUGUUUACCGCCAGGACUUCCUCCCUUGGGCCUUGGUAGUUGCUCUGUUGCCGUCCUAGAGGCAGCUUCCUAGCUACUCUCCACCUCGUCUUUUACAUUGUUCAUUUUAAGACAUUCACCUACUCCUAAUGGAGUCCAUUCAUUAAAGAAAUACCAAAAAUUGGUAUCAGAAUGAAGUAAAGCCAAAAGCAUAGGGAUUUAGAUCUCCAUGGUCAAUGAUAAUCUUCUAUGCUAAAUUCAACAUUAUUCACAUAGAAUAGAGACUAAACUCAGAAUUUUAUCUCUAAUAAUUGUCUAUGGAGUGCCUGUCAAAGUUGACUGAUCGAUGAGAACCAGGGGCAAAAGGCUAUGACAUCUUUUUCCAUAUAAACAAAUGAAAUGAGACGGUGUUGUAGGUGAGUGCCGGCAUCUGCACAAGUGCAAAUCCCUCGUGAAUCUGCACAAAGAAGGAAAGAAAUGAGUUUUAAUGAAACCAGACACCAAGACAAGAACAAAUAUCUUGUUUGUAGAUAAUAAUCUAAUAUCUACCAUUGUCCCUUAUAAAUACCUCUCUUGAAACCUGCUACUCAACACUCAACAACUACAGCCAUGAAUUCACAUAUGCUUGUUCUUCCUCUUAUUCUUCAAAUUUUCAUUGCUCUGUUUUCCUCAAACCCUGCAGUAGCAGCUAACUCAAAACUUUUUAGAGAAUAUAUAGGAGCUGAGGACAAGGGUGUUACGUUUUCAGAUGUACCCAUCAAUUCACAAGUAGAUUUUCACUUCAUCCUCUCCUUUGCUAUUGACUACACAAACUCUUCAAUUCCUUCCCCCACCAAUGGUGAUUUUGGGGUUUACUGGGAUACAGAAAACCUCAGCCCUUCUCAUGUAUUCUCCAUCAAAAGCCAGCAUCCGAAUGUCAAGGUAGCUAUGAGUCUUGGGGGUGAUACGAUAAAUGAUGAGCAUGUAUACUUCAGCCCCAAAACAAUCAAUUCUUGGGUUCGAAAUGCCAUUCAUUCCAUAACAGAGAUAUCAAGAAAGUACAAUUUGGAUGGAAUAGACAUCGACUAUGAACACUUCCAUGCAGAUCCUGACACAUUUGCUGAGUGCAUUGGACGGCUUCUUCUGUUCCUCAAACAAAAUGGGGUGGUGUCGUUUGCAUCAAUAGCACCCUAUAAUGAUGAUUCCGUGCAACCGCAUUACUUGGCCUUGUGGAGUAAGUAUGGGCAUCUAAUAGACUAUGUCAACUUUCAGUUUUACGCUUACCAUAAGGGGACAACUGUUUCUCAAUUUUUGAAAUACUUUCAUGAACAGAGCUCUAACUAUAGAGGUGGUAAGGUCUUAGUAAGCUUUGGUACUGAUGGAAGUGGAGGUUUGUCUCCUCAAAAUGGGUUUUUCAAGGCCUGUCGCAGGCUUAAGCGUCAGGGCAAACUUCAUGGCAUAUUUGUUUGGUCAGCGGAUGACUCCAAGAAAGCUGGUUUCCUCUAUGAGAAGCAGUCACAGACCUUGUUGGCCAGAUCAACAUGAUCUAUCUCAUACAUAGUUUUUUCCCCGUUAGAGAUGAAUAAAACAGAUGUAUUGAAAAUUUAGUUAUAUGUGUAGCAGAGAAAGGUAACUCUAUGACUAGUGAGGUAAGGGAAAUUUCUGAAGGUUCACAUGAUCGGACAAUAGAAGUCAAUGGAAACAAAGGCAAGGCAAUCACAAUGAAGUCCAUCUACUCAACACUAACUUCCCCAAGAAAGAUUUUUGAAAGAGAGAAGACAGAGUUGAAAACGAUUACCAAACCAGUGGCCUACUCCAAAAUAUAACUGAGCAAUUAUUUGCAUGCUAGAUAAUCUAUCAAGAACCAGAAGUUGACAAAAAUAUUUGCUGUAAAAUUCUUCUGAUACCAAACUAUUGCUAGAUUAGAUAGCAACAUUAAGGCUCAGAAGAAUACCUAACAUUUAUCACCAAGAAAUGCAGUGUGAUUACUAUAGCAGACACUUGCAUGCUUCAGAUGCCAACAAUUGAUCAAUUAGCCUGGCUUUCAGCGGUCCCCUGACCCAGGAAUUAGUUUUGGCACUCAUGUAACGAUCAUUCUUCAUACAUUUUGACAUUUGUCAUCAGAGUUCCCAGUUGUUACAUUGGUCAUCUUUCGAGCUAAGAGCUACUGAAAGUCACUAACAAAAUAUGCUUCCUAUCAGCUUUUACAUGCUGUUUCUAUUUCAGUUUUAGCAAAAUGUAAGUUUUCACAAGAAUCUGCAAGUCAUCAGGCAGGAAGGUCUCAUCAAGCUAGAAGAAGAUCAAACAUGGGACAUUGGUGUUGUCACUGUUUUGAAGCCCCAUUGGCUGCAGAUCAAUUAAAACGACAAUAAUCAAAUACCAGUGACUAUGCUCUGGAGAUUAACCAUCAAUUGAUUUCAUUCAUUCUAAAUUAACAAACAUAUUUGCUCAACAUUAUAAUGGAAAAGAUUAUCCAAAAAUGAUUACUCAUUUUAACAGCGGAGCUAAGAAUUGCCUCCAAAACAAAACCUUCCAGGCUGCCAUAAGAAACAACAACAACAAUAAAAGUUGCUACAUUGCCUCAAAUCAAUCCAUUAUCCACUUUGUUUUUAAUCUUCUUCUUCUUCUUCUUCUUCUUCCUUGGCUCUGAAGAAGAAUCAUUUUCAAUUCCCUCCUCAAUCUCUCUACUCUUCCGUUUCUUCUUGUUCUCCCCUUGCCCUUCUGCUUCAUGUCUCAUUUCACCCUCAAUUUUCACCCCAUUUCCCUCAAUUUUCAUCCCAUUUGCCAGAACAUUUUCAAUUUUUCGGCCACUUUUCUCCUUCUUAGGCUUCUUUUUCUCACUUGGUUCAUCAAUUACCAUUUUUUCCUCGUCUUCCUCAAAGUUACCAAUCUCAUUCUUCUCCUUCUUCCUCUUGCUCUCUCCAUCCUCAAUAAGACUUUUGCCUUCACCAUCCCCGACAUUACCAACCUCACCCUUCUCUGUCUUCUUCUUGUUCUCAUGCUUCUUUCCAUCACUAUCCCCAUACCCAUGACUCACCUCUUGACUCAGCUCCACAGCACCACGAGUCAAGUUGAAUACACUCGGUUCUAGACUCGACUCGCUGGCACCUUCCACUGCGGUCUCAGACUUGGGUUACACAACAAGAGGGAGUCAUAUCCACCUCCCAUCAGACCUUGUAGUGGGAAGCCCCAAGCUUUAACCAUUGAAAUGUCUCUUUGUUAACUGGUUGAAUGCUCUUAUUGUAAUCAUAUUUGG
rnacentral:lncRNA from 1 species